CCCGGGCCUUGUACACACCGCCCGUCACACCAUGGGAGUUGGUUUUACCCGAAGCCGGUGCGCGAACCGCAAGGACGCAGCCGACCACGGUAAGGUCAGCGACUGGGGUGAAGUCGUAAACAAGGUACC
rnacentral:rRNA from 1 species